GGGUGGGAGUGGAAAGGGUCUGAAGAGCCUCCGCAAGGAAGUGGGGUUUCCGAGAUCCGUGCUGACUGUCCCCACUGCUGAAGAGUUUCCAUGUAUCACCUCUCAUCCUGGCAGCAGCAAUUCUAUUGGGCAGAUAUUACUCAUUUAUAGCGGAGGUAUUAUGGAACUUGCUCGAGGUGUCACAGCAGCAGGUGGCAGGGCCUGACGCUGAUCCCAGGAGCUCCGACUCCAAGGUCACCAGACUCUGAAGUCUGUGCUCAUUCUAAUGCGCAGGGCUGCCUCAGAGAACACUGCCUGCAGCGGUCCCCUGCAGAAAGGAACAGUCCCCCACGGAUGAAAACAGCAGGAAAGGGAGACUCCCUGGCCAUCCAGAAGGUGACGUGGGGGCAGUGUGACACACCUGCACAGGAUCUUUCAUUAUUCUGCUGUGUCCUCUGGGUCGUGGACAGGCAGGAACAUCCUAGGGGGCAAGGCCACCUGUCCAGCAAUCCAGGCGAAUGUUUUUGGUGUAGAGAGGCCACGCCUGUCUCUGCCACAGGACGGGUUAUGGAGGGUCCGAGAAGGAACGGUGAGGCUGGCGUCUGACAACAGGACUCAGCUACUGAGCCUCUCUCCCCGAGCAGCAGGGUCCUCCAAAAGCCUGUCCUGAUGUCUGCUGUCCAUCAAGCCCUCCGGUGCACAGCGAGCUGGAGCCAGAUGUUCCGUGGGCAGCCCCCUGGGCUGGUGACAGGCUGUGAUUAAGGUUGCCAGCCCCACAUUAACAGAGAAUUGAAUGGGAGAGAGCCCCC